rnacentral:rRNA from 1 species
CACGUAGGGCGCAAGCGUUGUCCGGAAUUAUUGGGCGUAAAGAGCUCGUAGGCGGUCUGUUGCGUCCGCUGUGAAAACUCGGGGCUUAACCCCGAGCCUGCAGUGGAUACGGGCAGACUAGAGGUAGGUAGGGGAGAAUGGAAUUCCCGGUGUAGCGGUGAAAUGCGCAGAUAUCGGGAGGAACACCCGUAGCGAAGGCGGCACUCUGGGCCGAUACUGACACUGAGGAGCGAAAGCGUGGGGAGCGAACAGG